AUGUAGUGAUGUACAUUCUGUAUUUAAUUCAGUAAAUCUGAGACAGUUUACAAAUAAAUUUGAUGUAAGGGCCAAUUUUUCUGGCCCCAAAAUUUAUUUAUGAUAUAUUCUAAAAAUAAGUUCAUGAACAACAGGGUACCCACUUAUGGAGCUACAUUAAAUGUUAAUGCAUAGCCUUUUUACAAGUGCCACUCAUGUUGACUCAUUAUCGAUUUUGCAAUGGUUCUUAAAAAUAUAAGGAUAAAUCUAUCAAAACAUUAUUGCAUAUAAAUGGA